AUUCCAUACGAAAGUAUUUUAAACCAAGAGUUUUUAAGGGAUUAGCUCCUUACGUUUCUGUAGAUAUGUACAGUUUCCUUCGCUUUUCCGUCUGUAGCUGUGUGGGAGAAAAAACGUCGCUCACAAUUCUCAGAAUAUCGUUCAGAUAAGUAAUCACGAGGAUCGGUCUCGGAACUUUUCUUAGGAGCGGUUACUUGGAGUUUCCGCGUUCCAGGAUCGCACUCAAUUCUACGGCAACAGGAUGAGAGAAUACUCCGCAUACCGACCGUGGCUGCAUUCCAAACUUAUUCAACUACUAACGCAGUUGUUUGUCCUCAUUUCGAUUCGAUCUUCUCGCUCAUUUCUUUCGAAUUCGAGACAAAUUAUGGUAAAAACGGCUAACAACUGUUUGAGUAUUUUUGAGUAUUGCUGUGUACUCUCUGUCUAUCGAUAUUGUGUAACGAUUCAUUUCUUAUAAAACAAUAGGUAUAACGGGCUCAAUAUUAUGUCCGAUAUAGAAAAUAAAGUUUCGCGAUGAAA